rnacentral:rRNA from 1 species
CCUACGGGCGGCAGCAGUGAGGAAUAUUGGUCAAUGGACGAGAGUCUGAACCAGCCAAGUAGCGUGAAGGAUGACUGCCCUAUGGGUUGUAAACUUCUUUUAUAUGGGAAUAAAACGUUCCACGUGUGGGAUUUUGUAUGUACCAUAUGAAUAAGGAUCGGCUAACUCCGUGCCAGCAGCCGCGGUAAUACGGAGGAUCCUGGCGUUAUCCGGAUUUAUUGGGUUUAAAGGGAGCGUAGGUGGAUUGUUAAGUCAGUUGUGAAAGUUUGCGGCUCAACCGUAAAAUUGCAGUUGAAACUGGCAGUCUUGAGUACAGUAGAGGUGGGCGGAAUUCGUGGUGUAGCGGUGAAAUGCUUAGAUAUCACGAAGAACUCCGAUUGCGAAGGCAGUUCACUGGACUGCAACUGACACUGAGGCUCGAAAGUGUGGGUAUCAAACAGGAUUAGAUACCCUAGUAGUC